rnacentral:misc_RNA from 1 species
GAUGAAGAACGUAGCGAAAUGCGAUAAGUAGUGUGAAUUGCAGAAUUCAGUGAAUCAUCGAAUCUUUGAACGCACAUUGCGCCCCUUGGUAUCCCGAGGGGCAUGCCUGUUCGAGCGUCAUUUCACCACUCAAGCCUGGCUUGGUGUUGGGCGACGUCCCCCUUGGGGACGCGCCUCGAAACGCUCGGCGGCGUGGCACCGGCUUUAAGCGUAGCAGAAUCUUUCGCGUUGGAAGUCGGGGCCCCGUCUGCCGGAAGACCUACUCGCAAGGUUGACCUCGGAUCAGGCAGGGAUACCCGCUGAACUUAAGCAUAUCAAUAAGCGGAGGA